UCAAGGUGAUCAAAGAUCUUUAAACGCAAUGGGCCAAUUACAGUGCUGCUAAUGACUGAGCAGCCAAACAAGUAGCCAUGAAAGUGGGUUCCACUCCCACUUGACAAAAUGGCUACUGCAAAGAGGUGAACAAAGAUGAAUACAAAGUGACUUGACAAAUUUGAGACCCCCACCACUUACAAAUAUCAUCUGAUCUAUGGAGUGACUACAUCCCACAUACAAGGGUCACAAGACAAUUUACUGUCAAAACAAACAGUAAUACACAAGUGGCUCAACAAAAAUGGACUGCAACUACCACGACACAAAGGGACACAAUGUAGUUACCACUACAAACAAAUGUUGCCAACUUACUCUAAAGUUGAAACCAAACGUGACCCAACAAUGUGGAGUGCAAGCACCACAAAAGAGUCCACUACCAGUUACUGCACACAAAAGUCUUCCUCAGUUAACAAUCUUACACACAUGCACUCACUUCAUGGAUAUUCUAUCCCGGACGAGCCCCCAAUUUGUUACGCCCCACUUCUAGUUGGCCGUAAAAGGGCUAACAACAAACCACCCUUGACCCCAAAUGUCAAAGGACACCUUUUACAAAAACCCAACCAGUGGGAUUUAUUUACAUAAACAUGAAAAGGACACAACAUUAAGAUAUACAACAAAGUCCAAAACAUAAAGACAAUACAAAAGAGGUGGCCCGACCAGCCAGCAGUCCCAUGACCAAAAGCAUCCCCAUGGGAAGGGGAAUCUGUCGCCUUUAACUCCGGUCCUGACGAGCGGUCCAGGUGCUCCUAAUCAGCUGCACUGAUGCAGCACACCUGAGCAUGGGCUGAGACAUGUCAACAGAACAGGGACAAACAAAGCAAGCCCCCUUUUGAGGAUGAACUGUGCACGUUUAACUUGAUUGUGCCCCUGCACCACCCAAAGACCAAUGCACUGCCACUGCAAGGCCAGUGGGGUGUAGAGGGCGUAACAGACCACCUUCUAUAAAUUAUGAAUUUAGCUGUUGUUGGACAAUGGAGACAGUUGAUCAAUGUUAGGACAUUGAAGAGCGGGUCUGCAUGUUCUAGUAGGAUCAAUGCUCAUUUUCAUUUUCUCUUGAAGGCCAAGAGCAACCCAGAGACAGUACAUAAAGCAGGCAUUAGAUGCAUAAACUCCUCGAGGUAUAUGACUAUUGUACGGGGAAUAGCCCCCCUGGUGUCCCGCCUCCCCCCACCAGGGGGCGCCCUCCUUACAGCGUAUUCCCAGAAUGCAAAGCGAGCCGCAUACCGCUUCUAUUAAAGCUUCAGACUUCCGUCGGAUCCUUCCAUUCCUUCUCAAUGUGGUGGAGUGACUUCAUGCUCUUGGUAAGAUUCCUAUUGUGUUAUAUUUAAAUGAAUUGGUGGUGUUGGUUCUGUUGUGUUAGAAUAAGACUAUUUGAUUAUAACUUGGUUCUGCUCUUACUUUUGCUAUAUGUGCAAUGUGUAUAUAUAUAAAGUAGGCCACGUGCGGGAAGUAUUGUACAAAUGUCAGAGAAUCGAGUAAUUUAAUUUCUGAUCUUGAGGACUUUAUUCAUAAUAAAGGGAGAGCUUGAGAAGUUUAUUCUGUUGGCUUUAAAUAAAAUGGCAUGAAUCUGCCGAGGCUAGCCCACUAAGGGUUAGUCCGGUACAGGCCUCACCAUGCGGGCCCCCACCGACCAACACUCAAGUCAGCUGCCCGGGUCAUAGUGCUCGGCUCAGUGUUACAGUGCUGGAAGAGGAAGCCCUGUAACCGCGACGGUUCUGCCGCCUCUGUUUUAGAGCUGGCUCUGCCGAAAUGUUGCAAGGUUCGACCCAACGAGAGUGGCCUGAUCCGAUACCCCGCUGGUCAGGCCUAGUGUCGGGUCACACAUCCCUAACCCUUGAGCAUGUGCGCAUGAAAAGAAAGUCACUAAUAUUCGGUCAGUUGUUUAAACUAUACGAUUGUUUUUGAAUUCCAUCUAGUCAUUGUAACGUUUCGAGCCGAACCAUUCAUAUGAAUGUGCCUCGCUAACUCCUGUUUUCCCCUCAAUGCAGGCAUGAUGUCGAAGUUUGCUUUUCCAAUGGUAAUUCGACAUGUCCGUCCCAGUACAUUAAUACUUCAAUUUAAGCAGAAUUGAUAUGCUGUGAUGAUUGCAAAAAAACACAUCAUGCUGACUAAUACUGUGGUGACUAUUUUCCCUGAGCAUAUUGAUGAAUGUCUGCAUGGGAUAUUACUUAAUUCAUUUAUAACUCAAAUCUUUCUUUCUUAUCAGGUUAUCCCGAUACUGGUGUUGCUUCAGGACCUGAUGGUUGGCUGAGGGUUGCCUGUGGGGUCUUGAUGAGACUAAUUUGUGCAGGCUGCCAAUCUGCUCUGCUAAGAUGCCAAUCAACGGCCCAAAGACGUCAACCAAAGCAGGCUGUCAUCUGCUGCGCUGGUUCUUUUGCUUCAACCAGUUGACCAAGGAGGUCAUGGUAGACGACAUGAUGGGUCACUGUGUAUAGCGGACUGCAAAGUUAAUUACUUGAUUGCAGGCGUAAUGCCCCAAAGACCACCAGAAUCAGGCUGUCAUCUGCUGCGCUGGUUCUUUUGCUUCAACCAGUUGACCAAGGAGGUCAUGGUAGACGACAUGAUGGGUCACUGUGUAUAGCGGACUGCAAAGUUAAUUACUUGAUUGCAGGCGUAAUGCCCCAAAGACCACCAGAAUCAGGUAAAUGUUAAGAUGGUCAGCAUGUCACUUCAGCAUUAAACUGUUGUUCAAACCCAGUGAGUACUCUCAUGGCAUGAGCAUUCGCUCGGCUGUGGAAUCCAAACAUUGGGAGAGAAACCUCAGGGCUUUGGCACAGAUUCAGUAGCACUCAUCUUCCAUGACCUGACUAAGCCCUGAAACAUCCUGACUAGUACCAGUGUUAAGUUGACUGUAGCGACCUGUGUUUGUGAAGUUCCACUUUCUUAACGAUGAUCUUGUGUUUUAUUGCAGGUGUGGAAUGACUCUUGCUCCUGGGACUUCUCUGGAAUAUAUUCCAGGUUCCUAUUAAUUCAUGCUCUGUUGAAAUAAAAAUGUUUUAACUUGA
ensembl:lncRNA